GACGAACGCUGGCGGCGUGCUUAACACAUGCAAGUCGAACGGAAAGGCCCUUCGGGGUUCUCGAGUGGCUAACGGGCGAGUAACACGUGGGUGAUUUGCCCUGCACUUUGGGAUAAGCCUGGGACACUGGGUCUAAUACCGGAUAGGACCACGGCAUUCAUAUGCUGUGGUGUAAAGCUUUUGCGGUGUGGGAUGGGCCCGCGGCCUAUCAGCUUGUUGGUGGGGUAAUGGCCUACCAAGGCGACGACGGGUAGCCGGCCUGAGAGGGUGACCGGCCACACUGGGACUGAGGUACGGCCCAGAGGGCUACGGGAGGCAGCAGUGGAGAAUAUAGCACAAUGGGCGCAAGCCUGAUGCAGCGACGCCGCGUGAGGGAUGACGGCCUUCGGGUUGGAAACCUCUUUCGCCAGGGACGAAGCGCAAGUGACGGUACCUGGAGAAGAAGGACCGGCCAACUACGUG
rnacentral:rRNA from 1 species